AUCCGUCUGAUGCGUCCUAAAUAGGACGAAACGCGCGUCUUGGAU
rnacentral:hammerhead_ribozyme from 1 species